rnacentral:tRNA from 1 species
GGGGGUGUCGUCUAAUGGCAAGACUCUGGUCUCCAAAACCAGUUAUCCAGGUUCGAGUCCUGGCAUCCCCG